AUUGAACGCUGGCGGCAGGCUUAACACAUGCAAGUCGAGCGGGGAAGGGUAGCUUGCUACCUAACCUAGCGGCGGACGGGUGAGUAAUGCUUAGGAAUCUGCCAUUUAGUGGGGGACAACAUUCCGAAAGGAAUGCUAAUACCGCAUACGUCCUACGGGAGAAAGCAGGGGAUCUUCGGACCUUGCGCUAAAUGAUGAGCCUAAGUCGGAUUAGCUAGUUGGUGGGGUAAAGGCCUACCAAGGCGACGAUCUGUAGCGGGUCUGAGAGGAUGAUCCGCCACACUGGGACUGAGACACGGCCCAGACUCCUACGGGAGGCAGCAGUGGGGAAUAUUGGACAAUGGGCGGAAGCCUGAUCCAGCCAUGCCGCGUGUGCGAAGAAGGCCUUAUGGUUGUAAAGCACUUUAAGCGAGGAGGAGGCUACCUAGAUUAAUACUCUAGGAUGGUGGACGUUACUCGCAGAGUAAGCACCGGCUAACUCUGCGCCAGCCGCCGCGGUAAAAC
rnacentral:rRNA from 1 species